UUUUUUUUUUUUUUUUGGAUAUGUAGUCUCACUCUGUCUCCCAGGCUGGAGUGCAGCAGCACGAUCUUGGCUCAUGGCAACCUCCGCCUCCAGGGUUCAAGCAAUUCUCCUGCCUCAGCCUCCUAAGUAGCUGGGAUUACAGGCAUGAGUCACCACACCUGGCUAAUGUUGGCCAGGCUAGUCUCAAACUGACCUCAAGUGAUCUGCCUGCAUUGGCCUCCCAAAGUGUUGGGAUUACAGGCAUGAGCCAUCGCGCCCAGCCUAAGCUACUGUCUACCAGAAAAAAAAGUACACAGUGAAUCAGAAUCACUUUCUUGCUGUAUAAACUUGGAAAGUUAUUCAUUCUCUCUGAGUGCCAGUUUCUUGGGCUGUAAAUUAAAGCUAAUAUUAUCUCCUUAUCUAGAUUGUUGUAAGGAGUGGAGAUGAUUCAUGUUAAGUGCCUGACCAAAGUUAGGCACUCACUAAAUGAUAUUUUGAAUUAUAAUAAAAUGAGAACCCAAGCACACAACUAUUUCUUAGUAACCUCAUAUAUAAGCAGGCCUCUUGUUGUCUACUGCCUUGAAGAGCCCAUUUAAUCUCCUCUCACCCCACCAAGGGCCAAAACAUGGCCCGACACACAGUUGAUGCUUGAUAAAAGUUGACAGAAUUGAAUUAAGGGGCGGUGCUGUUGUGUUUUCCUGAUAGAGUACACUUAUUGCCAAAAUAAUUAUAGAAAUCAAGUUUUAUGCCCAAAUUAGCUCAUUAAUUUUAGGCUGGGAGCAUAAUCACAAGAGAACCGCCUAUCUCCCAAAUGAUCCAACUACAAAGAGAACAAAAGUCAAGCUUCAUCCAGUAAGCGUCACCUUACCUGGCAGAGGUUUAGCGCAUCUCUCUGCUCUGGGAAGAAGCCAAUAAUUGAAAGCAUCUGCUGGUCAAGACAAGCAGAACAUUUAGGCUGAAGAGGGAGUGAUAUUUUUGCUUAUCUUUAAAAGGAAAGAACGAGUUGAUAAGAGAGAACAGUGGUUUUGCUCUGAAACCAGCCUGACAAACUAUAUUGAACACAGAGGUCCGUACUUAUUUUCUUUCAAAAACUUCCUUUCUUCUGCUCCCAUUUAUACAUAAACAACACAUAUCCCUAAACUCCAUCCAUUGUUUUAUCCUCGAAAUUCUUAGCCCCAAUUGGCCUCACUGGCAGCACAUGCUCUCCUGACCACACAGCUGCGUCCAAGGGAGGUAGGGGCACAACCUUCAAUGGUAUCUCUGCUAUCUCAAAGGAAUUUCAGAUAUCAUUAAAACAAUGUGUCUGCGCCUCUAAAUAAAACAGGCCAGUCAUGUUUCAGUAAACUGACAGUCUUCUCUAAAGGACCCCGAGGUGUACGAAGUUACUGAGUUUUCCCAUCCUACCAUCUUCAAAGUGAUAAAGAAAAUGCAAUUGUUAUGCAACUAGCCUUUCCAGCUGACCCUAGGGUGGCAUUUGCUGUCUACUCUUAAACUACCUCACAAAAAUCAUCUUUUUGUAAAGAUUCUUUGUUUCCUCUCUCAUACAUGCAUAAGAGACCCCGGGGUGGAGGCAGUGUUAGGAUGGGGAGGGAUGGACCGGGCUCCUGGGAAUGGCCUCCAUCAGAGGCCUGGUCUGUGGGCCCCAGUCACCGUGAGGGGUCGGUGGGGAGUGUGGAGCUUCCCAGGAUCCUGCCUCUCUCCCUGUUUUCUGCCAAGCAGCAGGAACACACAAUUCAUUAAAGCAAAGCCAAAGGUCAUGGACUGAGAAAUAGCAAGAAACUUCCAGGGACUUGUUGAUUUUGGAAACUUAAUGUCCACAUUGUGUAACAGUGUGCAUGUUCCCCAGGGGGAAGUAGAUUGCUAUUUAUGUCAGAAAGAUGUUUCAGAAGAAGAUGUCUCCUCCAAGCAAAUAGUAUAUGUCUAGUUGUUGGCAUCUACUAUCCUCUCUCCUCUUUUAUUCAAUAAAGUGAUCCACCUUAUCUGAGCUACACAGACCUCUGAUAGGUGCAGGGGAGGAUGUUGGAGGGGGUGCCAUUUCGAUAGGUUGGCAUUUUCUCUGUAAUGGCAGGAGGCAAUAGAACUAUUUGUUUAUGUUUCAAACAUAAAAUAAUGAAUCAGCACUCGAACAAGUCUUGAAAGAUAAAACGUUCAGUGUUAAUUGAAUCUCUAUAUUGUGCCAGAUAAUAUUUAAGUGCUAGGAAUACGGUGCUGAAUAAGGUCCCUGCCCUCAUAGACAGGUGUUCUAGUAGGAAGAGACAAAACAGACAAGCUAAAACAAAUUUUCAAAGAGUGAUAAGUGCUAUGAAGAUGGUUAAACAUGGAUAGAGACUGAAUGGCUGUGGAGGGGGCAGAUUUCAGCAGAUUUAGGGAAGGCCUCUCAGAUGAGUUGGCAUUAAACCAAAAAACUGCAAUCAAAUAAAUCUCCUUUGCCGCCUCACUGUCGGAGCCCUGCUUACCACAUCUGAAGGAUCCAUAUCUUCCAGAGCUCUGCAGAUUUUGACAGCAGAGAUAUGCUCCUCACACCCCCAGCUUCUGCUUUUUCAUUAUUUGUGACUAUCAAAACAGAAUUUUGAUGACAAAUUAUUUAUAAAUAAACCAAUCAUUAAAAUAUGUAAGAUCUCUCACCUAUCACCAUACAUCUCACUUAACCAUUCUCAUGCAUCCCAAUGACUUGAACAAAAAGAAACAGAACCAGAAAAUAGUCAAAACAGUACAAUUUAAUCUAAAUUAUCCUUCUCACAACAUCACUGAGAUUGACUUGCCAAGUCCUGUUCAUUGUCAGAUUGGAUUCUCUGGAAGUGAGUGCCUUCUGCAAAGUAUCUCAGACAUGGAUAACGCAGGCAGGACUAAACUGCUUUUCUUCCCAUUUGAGUUGCCAAUACCUCCCUCUGGGCCAAUCGAGGAUUAUUGUUUCAACAAUACAUGCAAGCUAAUUGUUUGUUAAGCCGGCCCAGCCAACCAUAAAAUCACAGGAGAGUCAGGCCUGGCCCAUCCUCUUGCCUCUGAACUGGAUCACAGUUAAUAUCUCUGAGAGUUCCACCCCAGGUUCACAGACCAACUGGGGAAGAUGGCUCUUGAGCAAACUCUGAAUUUUGUUUCCAUGAAGAAAGGUUUCUCCAACAUAAUCAACUACAAUCACAAUUUUUGAAACAUUCACAUUCUUAAGUCUGUAUCUGCUUUGGUUUCCUUAAAUAAAAACAAGCCAGAGAUAAAAGUAUGGAAAUAAAAUAGUUUCAAACAGAGAGCCCUGUGGAAGAAUGCACUAACUUAAUAUGUACUUCCAGAUAAAUGACAAGAUACAUGUAUAAGAGAAGCAAACUUCUACAAACAUUCAUUAACAAUGUGUGAAGAUAAAAGUUAUCUUUGAUAGAAAAAGGUAACUGAUAAAGACAUCAAAGAGAAAGAUCUGAAAGUGAACUUUCUACAUACUCACCAGAUAAAACAUAUAAAGGGGCAAUUUUGGUUUGUUUUAUUGUUGUAGGUCUAAAGGAAUACUUUCAUUUUCAGUAGUUUGUCAGCAAACAGCACAGGAAACUUUACUAUUUGAAAUGAGUAGUCUGAGUUAACAAUAGUGACCAGAUAUUAUAAAACCGUGUUCUGCCUAAAUAUAUCCACAAAUCUUCAGAUGGCCUACAAACCCAAUAUUGAGGCUAAAAAAGACAUGACCUCUUGAGAGGCUCUUCUAGAAAGUGGGACUCUCUGGUACUAGGGAUAUAGCACUGUGAACCCCAAAAGGGAGACAGCUCUGACCCCCAGUGCAAUCAGGAAAGACAGAUGCAAGCCCUAACUUAGUUUACAGGUUUGAUGUCCCCACUGCUGUGGGCAUUCCUGUCCAGAAACCCAAGUCCUCCCCAAGAGAGUGGCUAGAGAGUAUAUGCAAACACAAUAAACCUUUCACAGAAAAACAAUGACUUUCUAUGACUAGAAU
ensembl:lncRNA ENOX1-AS1 ENOX1 antisense RNA 1